rnacentral:misc_RNA from 1 species
AACGCACAUUGCGCCCCCUGGUAUUCCGGGGGGCAUGCCUGUUCGAGCGUCAUUACAACCCUCAAGCUCUGCUUGGUAUUGGGCUCUGCCGGUCCCGGCAGGCCCCAAAAUCAGUGGCGGUGCCAUCCGGCUUCAAGCGUAGUAAUUCUUCUCGCUUUGGAGGCCCGGGUGCGUGCUUGCCAGCAACCCCCAAUUUUUUUCAGGUUGACCUCGGAUCAGGUAGGGAUACCCGCUGAACUUAA